rnacentral:lncRNA from 1 species
AAUAACUUAGCAAGGAAAAAUUGGUUAAUWUCCAGCUGGAUCAGUAUCCUGAGCCUGUUUUUCGCAUAGCCCUAUAAUCAUCUGUGCUGGUAAAACUGAAGUAUAGUGCAGGGACAAGCAACUGUGAGAGGACUCUGCUUGAGAAAGGACUUCCACCAAAAAUCUCCAUCGAACCGCAGCCGAGUCCUCGGCUCCGCCUAGCCUGAACCUCUGCAUAAUGCAAGACAGUUACAACUGUAAUUGCCUUAUGUUAGGAUCUCUUCCUUACAGAUACGAGACUUAGAAGAAAACAACAAAACUAACGCUGGGACCAUAAAAUAAUACAAAUSAAAACUUUCAUCCCUGAGAUGUUGCCUCACUUUAUCAAAAUGACAGCAUGUUUUCAGUGAACCCCAGCUUUAUCCAGGAAUCCUACCUCAAUCAAUGCACUGGACGCAACACUCUCCUCUGAUAUGUUUUCACCUUGUAUGAAAUACUGUAAAAUGAAUGUAAGUUGAACAAAAUGGAAAAUGAAAGAAGUGUAAAAUCAGGUAAUAUGAGCUCAUUGAUCUAGCAGCUUUGUAGCCUGACACUUUGGAUAGUCACAGGUGGGUUAUGAAUUUAUAGAUGCAAUGACUGCAUAUACAGAAAAGUGUCACCAGGAGAAACUGUGAUCAACCCACCAUAGGGUAUCUUCAAAUCUAAUUGUAAAGACUUCAUCUCAUCGAAGUACGUUUAAAUUCUCCCAACAAAGA